rnacentral:rRNA from 1 species
UCAAAAACAUUUCUUUAAGAAUUUUAACUUAAAGUAAGACCUGCUCAAUGAUAUUUAAAUAGCCGCAGUUCAACUGUGCUAAGGUAGCAUAAUAACUUGCUUCUUAAUUAGAAGAUAGAAUGAAAGGUUACACACUAAAAUUAUGUUUCUUUUAUACUAAAUUAAAUUAAAACAAAAGUCAAAAUCCUUUUAAAUAUAUAGCGGGACGACAAGACCCUAACAAACUUAUUAUUUAGUUGGGGAAACAAAUUAAAAAAACUUUAACUCAAUAAAUUACACAACUUUAAGAUUAAAUAAAGUCUAGUUACUGUAGGGAUAACAGCGUUAUUUCUUUUAAGAGACCCUAUCUAAAAAGAAGAUUACGACCUCGAUGUUGAAUUAAUCAACCUAUAAUACGCAACAGUUUAUAAUAAGGUAGUCUGUUCGACUAUUAAAUGAUUACAUGAUUUGAGUUCAGAUCGGUGUGAGCCAGAUCGGUUUCUAUCUGCUAUACUCUUAAGUAAAUAGUACGAAAGGACCUUGACUUAUGAUAAAAUC